rnacentral:lncRNA from 1 species
UUAAUCAAAUGGAAUCACAAGUUAGUAUGUACAAGCAAAGCUUCAUCUAUGUGUCAAAUGAUCCAAGAUUGGUUGAUAUAAAGGCAACCUAUCUAUGCCUCAAAGUAUCAUGAAUGAUCUAUUGAUCAUCCAUUAAUAGAUUUGAAAUAUAGAAGGUAUAAUCAACCCUAAUCAAUCCAAAAUCAUGACUUAAUAGACUUUAUUAUCCAUCAAUGUUCAAGGCAUCAUAAGUGAAUCAAAAAAUGCUUAAAUGAAAUGAAACAAAGCAUACUAAAAUAGAAGAGGAAAAAAUAGUGAGGGUUUUUGUUGGAAAUUUUUUAAUCAGAAUUAAAAUAAGUGAGGAAAAAAUAAAAUUA